rnacentral:lncRNA from 1 species
GCUCAUUCUGUUGAUCGAUAUCGCAACAUUUAUGGCAUGAAAUGUGCUCAAUUAUAUAAGUACUAUUUAAUUAAAGCACGCGUAGGAGUGUUUUAUCACAUAUAAAACACGACGCGUAGCGGAUUGUUUUAUAUGUGAUAAAACACGACUACAAGUGCUUUAAAUGGCUUCAAAAACGACUCAUCUUAUACGAGUUCAUUGGCGAAGUAAUUUUUAAAAUAAACUUUGUCUAAACCGAGAAAAUCAAAGCUGAAGUUUAUGUAAAUUAACAUGAUUUUUUAUCACAUAUAAAACCACGACACGCUUAUGAUUUUUCUUUGUGUUUUCCUCCUGAAUUAUUAAUGAGUUUUUGAA